rnacentral:rRNA from 1 species
GGGAACAUACCCCUCGGUUCGGAAUAGCUCAGGGAAACUUGAAUUAAUACCGAAUACGGUCGAGAGGCGAAAGAUUUAUCGCCGAGGGAUUGGCCCGCGUCCGAUUAGCUAGUUGGUGAGGUAAUGGCCCACCAAGGCGACGAUCGGUAGCUGGUCUGAGAGGAUGAUCAGCCACAUUGGGACUGAGACACGGCCCAAACUCCUACGGGAGGCAGCAGUGGGGAAUAUUGGACAAUGGGCGCAAGCCUGAUCCAGCCAUGCCGCGUGAGUGAUGACGGCCUUAGGGUUGUAAAGCUCUUUCGUCAGGGACGAUAAUGACGGUACCUGAAGAAGAAGCCCCGGCUAACUUCGUGCCAGCAGCCGCGGUAAUACGAAGGGGGCUAGCGUUGUUCGGAAUUACUGGGCGUAAAGCGCGUGUAGGCGGGUCUUUAAGUCAGGGGUGAAAUGCCAGGGCUCAACCUUGGAACUGCCUUUGAUACUGGAGAUCUUGAGUCCGGGAGAGGUGAGUGGAACUGCGAGUGUAGAGGUGAAAUUCGUAGAUAUUCG